UACGUAAACAUGCAGUCAUACAGCUCUGCAUGCGCCACUGAUUCAAGGCUUACUCUGUGCUGGGCCCUGUUCUCGGUCCUACACCUGCAUUAGUUCCUUUCUCACACUGGCCCUGCGAGCUACGUACUAUUACCACUCCCAUUCUUACCGAAUUAUUACCCUGUUUUCACAGUGGAGCAACCCAAGAAACAAGGAGAUUAAAUACUUCAUCACAGGUGACAAGGCAUUGAACUGGGAUUCGCGCUCAGGCCCCCCGGCUCUAAGCACGAUACAAACUGCGUCUAGAUGGCCUCACAGCUGCCUAGAUGUGUGCAAUUACGGAAUCGCAACCUGACAUCACUAGUCCUCCUGUGGCCAAUUUCAAGCUACCAGUGUGCUGUCCCUGAACUAAAGGAGAUCCUGGGAGGAGAUGUGCAGAGCCACACAUUAUAUGCUGUUUCCACCGUGUUGAUGCAAUCCAAGGAGAGAAGCAGACUCUCCACUGAGCAGAGAGCCCAACCCGGGACUCGAUCCCAGGACCCUGGGGUCACGACCUGAGCCGAAGGCAGAUGCUUCACCGACUGAGCCACCCAGGCGCCCCAAGUCAAUGGUAUUUUAACAGCAUGGUAGGGUGACGGGGGGGGCUGCCUCUGUGGUGAGCACGGCGUAAUGUGCAGAGCUGAUGAAUCGCUACGUUGUACACCUGAAACCGAUGUCACGUGGGAUGUCAACUAUCAUCAAUUAAAAAAAUAAAAGAACGGCUGUAUUUCA
rnacentral:lncRNA from 1 species